rnacentral:rRNA from 1 species
GACGAACGCUGGCGGCGUGCCUAAUACAUGCAAGUCGAACGCUGAAGGAGGAGCUUGCUUCUCUGGAUGAGUUGCGAACGGGUGAGUAACGCGUAGGUAACCUGCCUGGUAGCGGGGGAUAACUAUUGGAAACGAUAGCUAAUACCGCAUAAUAGUAGAUGUUGCAUGACAUUUGCUUAAAAGGUGCAAUUGCAUCACUACCAGAUGGACCUGCGUUGUAUUAGCUAGUUGGUGGGGUAACGGCUCACCAAGGCGACGAUACAUAGCCGACCUGAGAGGGUGGUCGGCCACACUGGGACUGAGACACGGCCCAGACUCCUACGGGAGGCAGCAGUAGGGAAUCUUCGGCAAUGGACGGAAGUCUGACCGAGCAACGCCGCGGGAGUGGAGAAGGUUUUCGGAUCGUAAAGCUCUGUUGUAAGAGAAGAACGAGUGUGAGAGUGGAAAGUGCACACUGUGACGGUAUCUUACCAGAAAGGGACGGCUAACUACGUG